rnacentral:lncRNA from 1 species
UGGCCGUUACAACUGUCUUGUGAAGCACUCAUGAAAGGUGGCCGGGUACCACUGUAUCAAUGGCCCAGUUGCCCAUCUCCUGGCGAGAGAUUUCCCUAAGUGACCUGGAAGUGUCACUAUUACCACCGCCCCACAUGAAUCUUGUGCUGGAGGCGACUAGAGCUGUGUGUCCCUCAGCAGAAGCAGGUGGCAUAAGCAAGAGUUCCAUUUUGGUUUCAUUUUCAGAGGACCCCAAUUGCGCAGUCUGCAAGAAAUAAUGUGCCUCUCAGGAUGGUUCCAAGCUGAGCCCAAAUCACUGAGGGAGAUUCACUGCUUGCUAACAUGAACUUUAUUCCUGGAUAAACAAGUCCCAAACCGUCUUGUCCAUAUGCCACCACGGUCAGGUCAAAACACACAUUAUCA